rnacentral:tRNA from 1 species
CGCGGGGUAGUGAAGUAGUAUCACGCGAGGCUCAUAACCUUGAGAUCGGGGGUGCAAUUCCUCCCCCCGCAA